AGCAGUUAAGAACUUGAAAGUUGGCGUAGAUUUUGCUGCUGUGAGGCUUCCCUAAAGCGGCCCGGCCACCACCAGACCCGCAGCUCUGCGCCUUUCCUCUUGGACUGUUUCAGAGGAUGGGCUUCUGGAAUUCAGUGGAUCUGGACAGGAGAACAUGGGAAGAUUUCAAUUAGAGCAAGUUAAAGAGAGUCACCUGUGUCUGAAACUGCCUCAGGUCAGCUAUAAAUACAUGGCAAUCUACACUAGUUAGAUGGAAUUCUCACUUGUAAUGAGUUUCGGAUGUGCAGUGGCAACUCACAGCCUGAUGGGUAGCAGGAAUAAUAGCGUGGCCUGAAUUCUCAGAGAAGACCGCAUUAUCCCACUGAGUCAGGACAAUGGCUGCCAAGGCUGCCAAGAUUGCGAUCACAAAUCAUGGAGGCAGCUGAGCCAUUAAAAUAGCAUCAUGUAAUAGAAAGUGGUCUGAAAAACCAGUCUAAAACGUUACUCUAUAGAGAAAGCCCUUGUUGAAAUUUACAUCUAAGUCACCUGAUAGUGAGCAAUCAAUAACGGAAGAUUUCCUCCAGAAUUUUAUCAGGGUCAGCCGCAGAAAUCUAAUAGAGUAGCUUGCCACUGAUUUAAGCUGGAAGGCUCUGUUUUCCAUGGCUUUUGCACAGAGAAUUGAAUUUAUGGACUCUUCAUGCAGCAGUGGCCGUUACAUGCAAGGUGCCAAUGACUACUUGAUUAUCUCAGAAGGACCUCAAAGCUAGUUGGGCAUGAAAUAGAGGACCUCUUCAAAUGAAAGGGAUCAGAAUAUUCAACACAGUUUAUAAAGUGUGACAAUUCUAUUAUGUAAGUUUGAACAGCAGCCACUGUUGGAAAAAAAAAAAAUCCAUGAGACUCUCCGAGAGAAAAACAGCUUGGCAGGGCUGGAGACUGAAAAAAUACAGACUUCAUUACUACUUCAUUACUACUGGGAGGACAAUGUUUGGAGAUUUUCUAUCUUAAAAAUCUCAAUUAUGCUCCACAGAAUAUGUAGCUAGUUCUGGUAAUCUGAGACUACUAUGGAAUAGAUAAUAUUGUAAUGGCUGGCUCUAGAUUUAAUGUAGAAAAUUUCUCGAUGAUUGGGUUUUGAAAUUUUUAAUAAUGUCAAGACAACUCCACACAGAGACCAUGAAGACCUUUGACCUCUGUGAUGGAUAUGAAUCAUGUGUAAGUUUGUGCAGGGACACCAGGCAGGUUAGUAAUCCAUUCUUUAUUUUGGGAGAGAGACCUCUUUUUUAAAAAAGUAAGCUUCUUAUUUUAGAACAGGUAUAGAUUUACAGAAUUACUGUGAAAACAGUCCAAGAGCACUCACAUACGGCAUGCUCAGUUUCUCCUAUUAUGAAUAUCUGACAUUGGAAUGGUGCGCUUGUCACCACCAGGGAGUGAUGACCUGUCAUGUUCUUUUUAAUAUUCAUACAAGAGAAUCCAGAUUCUCUUAGUCAUGAGAUAAUGUCCUUUCCCUCUUCCAGGAUGCUGUCCAGGACACCUGAUUACAUGAGUUGUCCCCUCCCUCAGGUUCCUCAUUGGUGACAGUUUCUCAGACUGUCCUGGUUUUGGAUGACCUUGACUAUUUGAAGAGCCCCGGCUGGUGUUUUAUAGGUUCUCCUUCAGUUGGGGCUUGUCUGGUAUUUUCUCAUUAGCCUGGGGUGAUAUAUUUCUAGCAGAAAGACCAGGGAGUUACUGCGCCAUUUCCUCACAUCACAUCAAGUGUACAUACUGUCAAUAUGACUUAUCAUUGUCCCUGUUAACCUUCAUCAUCUGACUUGAGGUGGUGUUUGUCAGUUUCCUACACUACAGGCUUAACACUGCAUGUUGCUCACACUCACGGAGUGGGGGUCAUGCCCCACCUCCUUAAAAGCAGAACAUCUACAUCAGUUGUUUGGAAUUCUUCUGCAUUGGAGGUCAGUCUCAUUUCCUCCAUGUAUUUAUUUAGUCCACCAUUUUUUUGUAACAAACUAACUUGUGAACAUGCAUUUUGGAUUGCAUUUCCACACCAUUGUAUUUAUUUCGUUGCCCAGAUAGUUCUAGCUUUGGCCUUUGGGGAUGUCUUUCACUUGGCUCUUUAUCUCUUUGAGGUAUUCCUGCCAUUGCUCUGUUUUGGACCCUUUUUGUUUGUGCUGAGGACUGACCUUCCUGCACUGUAACUGAUGCUGGGCCUGCUCAUGGAAGAGGGGAUGUCACUGCUUCCAGGACCUCUCGGAUGACAGAGCAAGGAGACAUUAGCAACUUGGAGCCAGGCGGAGGAACAGGACGCCGAGAAGAUCCCAGCCUCUGCCCCUUACCACCUUCCACUUUGGAAGGGACACUUGUUCACUCAGAGAAUUAACCUAGAGGGUUAGCAAAAAGAUUAAUAAAUCAGGUCUCUGAUCUUGUGCCACCUAAUAGCUGAGCCUCCCAGUGGCUGAACUUCCACCCUUAGUCUGCCAGCCUAGGCUUGUCCCCUGCACCCCAGCCCAGGUGACAUGGUGUACAAUGGAAGGAAACAUUUCAACCUCCUGAAAUAUUUCUGAGUUGCUUCCUGACCUGCGGGAUCUGCCCGCCUUCAGUUCAGUCUCGCCAGAUCUCCUUCUGAAGUGUGACCCAGUCAGCAGACUCGGGCGGCUCUGAACCAGAGUAAUGCGGCGAAUUGAUGGAGAACCUGCUGAGCUGUUGGGUAGAGAAUCAGCAACCAUGUAACUCCGAACACAGCUUGGACACUGAGAAUCGAAUUUACCUACUCAACCUCCGACUCCUACUGUGCCCUGCAACAUACACACAUCUUAAGAAGCUUCCAGAAGGAUUCACAAACUCUUCAAUAGAAGCAUCAAUGGAAGUUACCCUGCUCCACAAAACCCUUGAAUUCUGGUCCAAUAAAUGUAAAUUGGUCUAUCAUGAUCUUUACCCAAGUCUAGUCAAGCUCUGUACUGAAACUCUUGCUUUAAACUAAAGUUCAUAUUCUUAAUAAAACU